GUCAGCCGUGGUAGGCAAUCUGCCUAGGAGAGCAAACUCCGAACAAUAAACCCGGCCAGGUGGAGGUCGUCAGCCGUGAUAGGCAGUUCACCUAGGAGAGCAAACUCCGAACAAUAAACCCGGGCAGGUGGAGGUCGUCAGCCGUGGUAGGCAAUCUGCCUAGGAGAGCAAACUCUAAACAAACCCGGGUUUGUGGUGCUCGUUAUACUGUCGUAGACAAUCCACGCGAUGAGAACACCAAAGAAAAGGAAAAUAAAAAGGAACACCAGAAAAAUGGAAAAUACAGAAACGAAACAUCAAGAAACAAAAAGAUCAUCCACCUUUAGGCCCUAACAUCGCCAAAAUUAUGGAUGGGUCUCUUCUGGGGAGAAAGCGGCUCAUCCAGACCAAAGAACAUCAACCAAAGGAUGAUAUGAAUAAAUGAAAUAAAAAAAAAAGCAUAAAGAAAAACACAUCAAGGAAAGAAAAAUAUAACAAACAUCAUCCACCUUCCGGCCCUGACUAACAUCACCAAAAUUAUGGGUGGGUCUCUUCUGGGGAGAAAGCGGCUCACCAAGGGAUGAUAUAGAAAAGAACAUCAAAAAAAAUGGAAAAAGAUCAGAAAAAACAUCGAAAAAGAAAAGCAACAGAAAUAAAUGAACAACAUCAAGAAAAGAGAAAUACAAAGAAGCAUCAUCCACCUUUCGGUCCCAAACAACAUCACCAAAAUUAUGGAUGGGUCUCUUCUGGGAGGAAAGCGGCUCAUCCAGACCAAGGAACAUCAACAAGAGGAUGAUAGGAAAAAAGAACACCAAAAA